rnacentral:rRNA from 1 species
GGGUUGUGAGGUUAAGCGACUAAGCGUACACGGUGGAUGCCCUGGCAGUCAGAGGCGAUGAAGGACGUGCUAAUCUGCGAUAAGCGUCGGUAAGGUGAUAUGAACCGUUAUAACCGGCGAUUUCCGAAUGGGGAAACCCAGUGUGUUUCGACACACUAUCAUUAACUGAAUCCAUAGGUUAAUGAGGCGAACCGGGGGAACUGAAACAUCUAAGUACCCCGAGGAAAAGAAAUCAACCGAGAUUCCCCCAGUAGCGGCGAGCGAACGGGGAGCAGCCCAGAGCCUGAAUCAGUGUGUGUGUUAGUGGAAGCGUCUGGAAAGGCGCGCGAUACAGGGUGACAGCCCCGUACACAAAAAUGCACAUGCUGUGAGCUCGAUGAGUAGGGCGGGACACGUGGUAUCCUGUCUGAAUAUGGGGGGACCAUCCUCCAAGGCUAAAUACUCCUGACUGACCGAUAGUGAACCAGUACCGUGAGGGAAAGGCGAAAAGAACCCCGGCGAGGGGAGUGAAAAAGAACCUGAAACCGUGUACGUACAAGCAGUGGGAGCACGCUUAGGCGUGUGACUGCGUACCUUUUGUAUAAUGGGUCAGCGACUUAUAUUCUGUAGCAAGGUUAACCGAAUAGGGGAGCCGAAGGGAAACCGAGUCUUAACUGGGCGUUAAGUUGCAGGGUAUAGACCCGAAACCCGGUGAUCUAGCCAUGGGCAGGUUGAAGGUUGGGUAACACUAACUGGAGGACCGAACCGACUAAUGUUGAAAAAUUAGCGGAUGACUUGUGGCUGGGGGUGAAAGGCCAAUCAAACCGGGAGAUAGCUGGUUCUCCCCGAAAGCUAUUUAGGUAGCGCCUCGUGAAUUCAUCUCCGGGGGUAGAGCACUGUUUCGGCAAGGGGGUCAUCCCGACUUACCAACCCGAUGCAAACUGCGAAUACCGGAGAAUGUUAUCACGGGAGACACACGGCGGGUGCUAACGUCCGUCGUGAAGAGGGAAACAACCCAGACCGCCAGCUAAGGUCCCAAAGUCAUGGUUAAGUGGGAAACGAUGUGGGAAGGCCCAGACAGCCAGGAUGUUGGCUUAGAAGCAGCCAUCAUUUAAAGAAAGCGUAAUAGCUCACUGGUCGAGUCGGCCUGCGCGGAAGAUGUAACGGGGCUAAACCAUGCACCGAAGCUGCGGCAGCGACGCUGAUGCGUUGUUGGGUAGGGGAGCGUUCUGUAAGCCUGUGAAGGUGUGCUGUGAGGCAUGCUGGAGGUAUCAGAAGUGCGAAUGCUGACAUAAGUAACGAUAAAGCGGGUGAAAAGCCCGCUCGCCGGAAGACCAAGGGUUCCUGUCCAACGUUAAUCGGGGCAGGGUGAGUCGACCCCUAAGGCGAGGCCGAAAGGCGUAGUCGAUGGGAAACAGGUUAAUAUUCCUGUACUUGGUGUUACUGCGAAGGGGGGACGGAGAAGGCUAUGUUGGCCGGGCGACGGUUGUCCCGGUUUAAGCGUGUAGGCUGGUUUUCCAGGCAAAUCCGGAAAAUCAAGGCUGAGGCGUGAUGACGAGGCACUACGGUGCUGAAGCAACAAAUGCCCUGCUUCCAGGAAAAGCCUCUAAGCAUCAGGUAACAUCAAAUCGUACCCCAAACCGACACAGGUGGUCAGGUAGAGAAUACCAAGGCGCUUGAGAGAACUCGGGUGAAGGAACUAGGCAAAAUGGUGCCGUAACUUCGGGAGAAGGCACGCUGAUACGUAGGUGAAGUCCCUCGCGGAUGGAGCUGAAAUCAGUCGAAGAUACCAGCUGGCUGCAACUGUUUAUUAAAAACACAGCACUGUGCAAACACGAAAGUGGACGUAUACGGUGUGACGCCUGCCCGGUGCCGGAAGGUUAAUUGAUGGGGUCAGCGCAAGCGAAGCUCUUGAUCGAAGCCCCGGUAAACGGCGGCCGUAACUAUAACGGUCCUAAGGUAGCGAAAUUCCUUGUCGGGUAAGUUCCGACCUGCACGAAUGGCGUAAUGAUGGCCAGGCUGUCUCCACCCGAGACUCAGUGAAAUUGAACUCGCUGUGAAGAUGCAGUGUACCCGCGGCAAGACGGAAAGACCCCGUGAACCUUUACUAUAGCUUGACACUGAACAUUGAGCCUUGAUGUGUAGGAUAGGUGGGAGGCUUAGAAGUGUGGACGCCAGUCUGCAUGGAGCCGACCUUGAAAUACCACCCUUUAAUGUUUGAUGUUCUAACGUGGACCCGUAAUCCGGGUUGCGGACAGUGUCUGGUGGGUAGUUUGACUGGGGCGGUCUCCUCCUAAAGAGUAACGGAGGAGCACGAAGGUUGGCUAAUCCUGGUCGGACAUCAGGAGGUUAGUGCAAUGGCAUAAGCCAGCUUGACUGCGAGCGUGACGGCGCGAGCAGGUGCGAAAGCAGGUCAUAGUGAUCCGGUGGUUCUGAAUGGAAGGGCCAUCGCUCAACGGAUAAAAGGUACUCCGGGGAUAACAGGCUGAUACCGCCCAAGAGUUCAUAUCGACGGCGGUGUUUGGCACCUCGAUGUCGGCUCAUCACAUCCUGGGGCUGAAGUAGGUCCCAAGGGUAUGGCUGUUCGCCAUUUAAAGUGGUACGCGAGCUGGGUUUAGAACGUCGUGAGACAGUUCGGUCCCUAUCUGCCGUGGGCGCUGGAGAACUGAGGGGGGCUGCUCCUAGUACGAGAGGACCGGAGUGGACGCAUCACUGGUGUUCGGGUUGUCAUGCCAAUGGCACUGCCCGGUAGCUAAAUGCGGAAGAGAUAAGUGCUGAAAGCAUCUAAGCACGAAACUUGCCCCGAGAUGAGUUCUCCCUGACUCCUUGAGAGUCCUGAAGGAACGUUGAAGACGACGACGUUGAUAGGC